rnacentral:tRNA from 1 species
GCGGAUGCGGAUAUGUGUCAAAUGGUAAAA